AGUGAACGCUGGCGGUAGGCCUAACACAUGCAAGUCGAACGGCAGCACAGUAAGAGCUUGCUCUUACGGGUGGCGAGUGGCGGACGGGUGAGGAAUACAUCGGAAUCUACUUUUUCGUGGGGGAUAACGUAGGGAAACUUACACUAAUACCGCAUACGACCUACGGGUGAAAGCAGGGGAUCUUCGGACCUUGCGCGAUUGAAUUAGCCGAUGUCGGAUUAGCUAGUUGGCGGGGUAAAGGCCCACCAAGGCGACGAUCCGUAGCUGGUCUGAGAGGAUGAUCAGCCACACUGGAACUGAGACACGGUCCAGACUCCUACGGGAGGCAGCAGUGGGGAAUAUUGGACAAUGGGCGCAAGCCUGAUCCAGCCAUACCGCGUGGGUGAAGAAGGCCUUCGGGUUGUAAAGCCCUUUUGUUGGGAAAGAAAAGCAGCAGGUUAAUACCCCGCUGUUCUGACGGUACCCAAAGAAUAAGCACCGGCUAACUUCGUG
rnacentral:rRNA from 1 species